CGAGGGUCACAGACUCUUGUAUUCCCUCUUUCUCAUCACUAGGGGUUUCGACUGGCUCAUAUUCCUCCUCACUAUCACUCUCUGGGGGCACUACUUCUACUUGCCCAUCAAUAAGGAGUACUUUGGUGCCCUAUCUCGUGCCGCACUGGUGAGCAAAAUGACCAAACCCCUGACACCUAAAACACCUAGUGGCCCCACUUCCACGUGAACUAGACCCGACAAUCUCUUUACCCUUAUCAUCCUUAGGUUUGGACUGAACAUUAAGGGAAGGUUUGUUUUGGAAUCCCGUGUUAGGUCUAGCCCCAGAGGGGUUGGCCUUAGCACCGAAUUCACAAAAAUCAAACCGCCUUCCCACAAAUGCUUUAAGAUAUUGCUCGACAUCUAACACUACUUGGUACAAUUGUUCAAUAGUGUCUAUCUCUUUGGCGAGCAAUUCUCUCCUGAUGUCAGGACGGAGGCCCGUUUUGAAACGAGCAAGAGUAAGUACUUGGUCCUCAUCAACCUCACAGCGGGUCGAGUAUUCUUCAAACUUCUCGAUAUAGUCCGCAACUCUCAUGGAACCCUGUCGAAGAGACUGCCACUCCUCAAUCAAUCGUAAGCGAUAAGAGAAAGGGAGAUACUUUUCUUUAAGCGUUUCUUUCAUAUCUACCCAAUGAACUAUUGGGAGUUCCCUCACUCUUUCUUUCUUUCGCUCAACCGUCACCCAAAACCUCUUUGUUUGACCCGCAAGCUUCAUCUUGGCGAAUCGAACUCGUCGAGCAUCCGACAUAUCAUACCACUCAAAAUAGUAGUCCAUAUCCGCCAACCAUUCUAGAAAGGCUUUAGAUUCCAAGUGGCCAUCAAAUGUAGGGGCAUCUACCCUAACUCCCUUAAGGAGUUGUGCAUCUGGGUCAUAUUGAUCAUGAUGUCCCUUACGGGGUGGGUGCACAGGUACGCGCCCAUGACCAACUCCUUGGCCACCUCCAUUCCUUAGUCUAACCUCCUGACCAACUGCCUGAGAUUGGGCAUCCUCCCCAGUGGUGGGGUUUGCCUUGAAGGAAGCCUCUAUUUUUUCAAGGCGUUUAUCUAUGAGUUGUUCCAAGUGUUUAUUCAAGGACUCAACCUGCUAGGCUAACUUGGCCACUGUUUCUUGCAGUUGCUCCAUGUUUAGUGUGGGGUGCAAAACGAAACCACCACCCAUACAUGUGGGCAUACACUGACUUGCUCAACCUAAGGACCUGCUACGGCAACUAUAUGCGUCUAAAAACUAAAUGACCCUACGAGACUCUAUAUGAAGGAGACUACACACCGUUACUAAAAUUCAGCUAUAUAUGAUGGACUGAAUGCAUGAAGGACUCAAACAAACUAAACCCUAAAUAUGUGGUGAAUUCCCCUACAAGAACCCUAGGCUUUGAUACCAAAUUUGAUGCAGGACAU